rnacentral:rRNA from 1 species
ACGAACGCUGGCGGCGUGCUUAACCCCUGCAAGUCGAACGGACAGGCCCUGCUGUUGUGGGGUGCUCGAGUGGCGAACGGGUGAGUAACACGUGAGUAACCUUCCCUUACCUUUGGGAUAACUUCAGGAAACUGGGGCUAAUACCGGAUAGGAGCUCCUGCUGCAUGGUGGGGGUUGGAAAGUUUCGGCGGUUGGGGAUGGACUCGCGGCCUAUCAGCUUGUUGGUGGGGUAGUGGCUUACCAAGGCUUUGACGGGUAGCCGGCCUGAGAGGGUGACCGGCCACAUUGGGACUGAGAUACGGCCCAGACUCCUACGGGAGGCAGCAGUGGGGAAUAUUGCACAAUGGGCGGAAGCCUGAUGCAGCAACGCCGCGUGCGGGAUGACGGCCUUCGGGUUGUAAACCGCUUUCGCCUGUGACGAAGCGUGAGUGACGGUAAUGUGUAAAGAAGCACCGGCUAACUACGUG